CCUACGGGUGGCAGCAGUGAGGAAUAGUGGUCAAUGGCCGGAAGGCUGAACCAGCCAAGUCGCGUGAGGGACGACUGCCCUAUGGGUUGUAAACCUCUUUUAUAAGGGAAGAAGAAAUGCUACGUGUAGCAUGAUGCCUGUACCUUAUGAAUAAGCAUCGGCUAACUCCGUGCCAGCAGCCGCGGUAAUACGGAGGAUGCGAGCGUUAUCCGGAUUUAGUGGGUUUAAAGGGUGCGUAGGCGGUUUUUUAAGUGAGUGGUUAAACGUCGGGGCUUCACCUUGAUUUGCCAUUCAUACGGUCAGACUCGAGUUCAGUCGAGGUAGGCGGUAUCCGUUCCGUAGCGGUGCACUGCU
rnacentral:rRNA from 1 species